GGAGAGGUAGCAUAGUCUGGCCUAAUGCGCUCGCCUGGAAAGCGGGUACAGGGUAAUUCCCUGUCGUGGGUUCAAAUCCCACUCUCUCCGCCA
rnacentral:tRNA from 3 species